UACGUAGGGUGCAAGCGUUAAUCGGAAUUACUGGGCGUAAAGCGUGCGCAGGCGGUGAUGUAAGACAGAUGUGAAAUCCCCGGGCUCAACCUGGGAACUGCAUUUGUGACUGCAUCGCUGGAGUGCGGCAGAGGGGGAUGGAAUUCCGCGUGUAGCAGUGAAAUGCGUAGAUAUGCGGAGGAACACCGAUGGCGAAGGCAAUCCCCUGGGCCUGCACUGACGCUCAUGCACGAAGCGUGGGGAGCAAACAGGA
rnacentral:rRNA from 1 species